UACGGAGGGAGCAAGUGUUUCUCGCAAUGACUGGGCUUAAAGGGCAUGUAGGUUGUAUAAAACUAAUUAAGUAUUAACAAAGCUUCUGGCUAACAAAAGCUACUACUUAAAAUGUUAGUUUUGUACUAGAGUAGUGCUCAGGUUGGUAGAAUUUUUAGAGGAGGGGUGGAAUCCGGCGAUACUAAGAGGAAUGCCAACUGGCGGAGGCGAUCUUCUGGAGUCUACUGACACUGAGGUGCGCAAGCAUGGGGAUCAAAUAGG
rnacentral:rRNA from 1 species